UACGGAGGGUGCGAGCGUUAAUCGGAAUUACUGGGCGUAAAGCGCGCGUAGGCGGUUAUUUAAGUCGGAUGUGAAAGCCCCGGGCUCAACCUGGGAACUGCAUUCGAUACUGGGUAACUAGAGUACGAGAGAGGGAGGUAGAAUUCCACGUGUAGCGGUGAAAUGCGUAGAUAUGUGGAGGAAUACCAGUGGCGAAGGCGACUUUCUGGACUGUAACUGACGCUGAGGCACGAAAGCGUGGGUAGCGAAAGGG
rnacentral:rRNA from 1 species